rfam:Triticum aestivum genome assembly, contig: Triticum_aestivum_CS42_TGACv1_scaffold_404914_5BL
CAAAUACUCCCUCCAUCCAAAAAUACUUGUCAUCAAAUCAAAAUGGAUAAAAAGGGAUGUAUCUAGAACUAAAAUACGUCUAGAUACAUCUCUUUUUAUCCAUUUUGAUGAUAAGUAUUUCCGGACGGAGGGAGUACUUA